UGUUUAGGAUAAAAUAGGUUUUACUAAUAUGUUUAGGAUAAAUAUAUCUCUAUAUAAGAAGAUGGUGAGUUGUGCCAUGAACUUGUGAGAUUAGAGAUUAUUUGUGAGAGCUUAGGUUUUGAGUGAUUUUCCUAAGAUAAUAAGAAGAGAGUUUUUAUAUAAUCUUGAGUGUUCAUGAGCUAAGCUAAUACUGCUGCUUCACAUUAUGAGAAAAACAAUCUAAAAGGUAAGCGGUGAACAUCUUUUAUGAGCAUUUUUCUUACCUUCUUCUUGUCUCUGAAUAUGGUUUUUGUCUACGUCAUUUGAAUAAUUACUAACACUGUUGGGUUGUACACUUGCCGUAGACUCACUUAGCAAUGAAGGACAUUUAUCUAGGCCAAGGAAGGGGGAUGAAAAAGAAACAGAGGCUGCCAAAGAAAAGGAGCGAUCCAAGGACAAGUACAUGGGGAAAUCUAUUCAGGAGCUUGAUCUCUCUGAUUGCGUGCGUUGCACUCCUAGCUACCUCCUCCUCCCUUGGGAUUAUCCACUGCCUUCUGUGCGCCACAGAGAGACAUCAGAAGCUGUUGUCUUGAAUGAUCACUGGGUUUCUGUCAAUUCAGCAAGUGAAGACUACUCUUCUAAGCACAUGCGCAGAAACAGAUAUAAGGAAAGCUUGUUUAAAUGUGAAGAUGACAGGUGCCGUUUUACAAUAAAAUAGAUAAUAGUUUUUGUACGUUGUUAGUUGGUUACCUGCUUCUUCAUGCUACAGAUUUGAGUUGAAUAUGCUGUUGGAAUCUGCCGAAUCUGCAGCGAAAAGGGGAGAAGAGUUGCUGAAUAGUAUCAUUGAGAAGAAAAUAAGUUUAGAAGAGGGCUCCUUCUUGGUUGAAGACCAUUUCACAGCCCUAAAUUUAAGGUGUAUAGAGCGACUUUAUGGGGACCAUGGUGUUGACGUGAAAGAGACAAUACGUAAGAGCAUCUCCAAUGUAAAACUCCAUUUUUUCCUUCAAAAUGGAGUAAAAGUGAAAAUUGAGGAAAAUUGCUCCAACCCCACUCCAUUUCCAACUCCAUUAUGAAGUGAUGAA